UAAACCAAGUUUCAGUUCAUGUAAACAUCCUACACUCAGCUGAAAUACAUAAUUGGCUGGGAGGUGGAUGUUUACUUCAGCUGUCUUGGAAUAU
rnacentral:pre_miRNA from 1 species